rfam:Thioalkalivibrio sulfidophilus HL-EbGr7, complete genome.
UGCUUGCGGCCAUGUUCCGCUGAUCCGUCAGCGACAUGCCCAGGUAGCCACGGUCUUCGAGGCUACGACGCGGUUCCGACCACGUGACCGAUCCAGUUCGCACCAGCAUCCCAUGCGCGAACGUUCGCCCCUCCCAGGGUGAUGGAUGC